CUUUGCUCUUCACUGCAAAUAUCCCUUUCCCGGUUCCCCUCAUCUCUCUCUCUCUCUCUCUCUCUGCAAUCAUCUUUUUAUUGUUCCCUUUCUAUAUCUACUGCUAUUUGCUCCUCCAUUUAUCUCCAUAUUCUUCUGCCAUUUUAUCUUCUUUUUCGAUUCUUGGAACGAAGAAACAUGGAGCUGCUUCAAGAGCUCUUUGUCACGGCUAUUGUUGCUGUGCUUUUCUCUUUUAUUAUAGCAAAACUUGUUUCAAUAGCUAUGGCUGGUGGCGAUUCUAAUCGCGACUCACAGCUGUCUAAGAGUCAAAUUAUUAAUCAGAAUGAGAGCAUUUCUGGAAAUGUUGAUGAUAGCAUCGUGGAGGAUUUGCAGCAUUUUGAAAGUUUGAAGGUUCAGGGAAUUAAGAGCGAGAAGAGAGUCGAGUUGGUUGAAGAAGUUUUUCAGCAGGUUGAUGAAUUUGUUGAACCAGUUGAGGUUGAGAAGGUUGGGAAAUUGGUGAACCGAGAUGAAGCAAUUGAAACUGACUGCCGUGAAUUGCCUCCAGAAUCAACCGAAGAAGGUUUAAAGAAAGAGGAAGAGUUGUCGGAGGAUAGGUUGGGGAAGAGCGUAGCAGAGAUUAAACUAAGUAGAGAAGUCGGAGAUGAUAAGAAUGCUAUUGAACAAUCUGACAACGUUAUUGAAGGAAGAUGUUUUAAUGAUAUAGAAAACAGAGAAAUUGAGCCAAUUGGAGUGGAAUUCUCCGUUGAAAAAGAUGUAGUAGAAGAAUCUGAGGAGAUUCGGGUCGUGAAGAGUAGAGGAACGGAAAAGGCUGAAGUGAAGAAAAUAGAGAUUGAUAGCGACGAGGAUGAUUGGGAGGGGAUUGAGAGGAGUGAGUUGGAACAGGUUUUUGCAAAGGCAGUCAAGUUUGUGGAGCACAGAGAUAAGGAUGGAGGUUUGACAAGCGCAGGGAACGAUGUGCAAAUGGAAUUGUAUGGGCUUCAUAAGAUAGCUACCGAGGGGCCCUGCCGCGAGCAGCCUCCUAUGGCUCUCAAAGUUACUGCCCGCGCCAAGUGGCUGAUAGCAACCCAGGACCAGGAUCAUCUGAAGCAACAAGUACCAGUGCUGUGGCUUCAGAGUUAAUUACUCCUUCAUCCUAUCAUCCAAAUAUUGCAGAGGAAAGGUAAGUAUGGAACUUGUUUAUCCAGCUGUUUCUAUUAAGUUUUAUUUUUUUAUUUUACUUUUGUUUUCGUGUAUCAUGUCUCUGUCAAUGUUAUCUCCUGUAGAAACCCAGAGGUGCUGCCUGAUAUUGAGAAAAAUAAUUUUACUGGAGGCCCAAACUCGUAAGACAGGGCUAAAGAUCGAUGAGCACUCUGCACUGUUUGACCUUCGCAAUCACAGGGAGUUUCUCAUUUGCAUGACCACAAACAAGUGAAGAUAAGUCUUAAUUGUCAAGUAAAUUUGCUGCAGGGUUCUUGUCAGUCAUACUAUCAAUUAUUCGACACUAUGUAUAUUCUCUAAAUGUUGUGUUGUGAUAAUAAAGAACAUUAUGUAUUGUGAAUAUCCGCACAUGUAUAUAUGUGUGUCAUUUUAUUCAUUCCCCAGAUGCUUGGGAUUGUCAAUUAUCACAUUGAUGUUGAUGCUC